rnacentral:rRNA from 1 species
CGGAUCGCAGUCUGCAACUCGACUGCGUGAAGGUGGAGUCGCUAGUAAUCGCGGAUCAGCACGCCGCGGUGAAUACGUUCCCGGGCCUUGUACACACCGCCCGUCACACCAUGGAAGUCUGCAAUGCCCGAAGCCGGUGGCCUAACCACUUAUGUGGAAGGAGCCGUCUAAGGCAGGGCGGAUGACUGGGGUGAAGUCGUAACAAGGUACC